rnacentral:rRNA from 1 species
AACGAACGCUGGCGGCAGGCCUAACACAUGCAAGUCGAGCGCGCCCUUCGGGGUGAGCGGCGGACGGGUGAGUAACGCGUGGGAACGUGCCCUUUUCUAAGGAAUAGCCUCGGGAAACUGAGAGUAAUACCGCAUACGCUCUUUGGGGGAAAGAUUUAUCGGAAAAGGAUCGGCCCGCGUUGGAUUAGGUAGUUGGUGGGGUAAUGGCCUAUCAAGCCGACGUUCCAUAGCUGGUUUGUGAGGAUGAUCAGCCCCACUGGGACUGAGACACGGCCCAGACUCCGACGGAAGGCAGCAGUAGGGAAUCUUAGGCAAUGGGGGCAACCCUGAUCUAGCCAUGCCGCGUGAGUGAUGAAGGCCUUAGGGUUGUAAAGCUCUUUCAGCUGGGAAGAGAAUGACGGUACCAGCAGAAGAAGCCCCGGCUAACUCCGUG